AGGAAAGGGAGGGAUUCGAACCCUCG
rnacentral:tRNA from 1 species